CCGACUCGAACUUGGUAUCCGCCUGAGACCGACGGUGCCAUCGUCGAUGAUACAUCAGACUCUUACAAAGAUCGAUAUAUCUACAUGGACGGGAGUCACACUCCUCCGACAGUCGACGAAACAUCGGACCCUUACAAGGACCGAUAUAUCUAUAUUGACAGGAGUUGACACUCCUUCUACGGUCAUACUUUUGGGUCAG
rnacentral:lncRNA from 1 species